rnacentral:rRNA from 1 species
UCCGUAGUGUGCAAGCGUUAAUCGGAAUUACUGGGCUGAAAGCGUGCGCAGGCGGCUUUGCAAGACAGAUGUGAAAUCCCCGGGCUUAACCUGGGAACUGCAUUUGUGACUGCAUGGCUGGAGUGCGGCAGAGGGGGAUGGAAUUCCGCGUGUAGCAGUGAAAUGCGUAGAUAUGCGGAGGAACACCGAUGGCGAAGGCAAUCCCCUGGGCCUGCACUGACGCUCAUGCACGAAAGCGUGGGGAGCAAACAGG